rnacentral:rRNA from 1 species
UGAGCAACCUGCCCCUGGCUCUGGGAUAACCCCGGGAAACCGGAGCUAAUACCGGAUACGAGACCGAUUGGCAUCUUUACGGUCUGGAAAGUUUUUCGGCCAGGGAUGGGCUCGCGGCCUAUCAGCUUGUUGGUGAGGUAAUGGCUCACCAAGGCGACGACGGGUAGCUGGUCUGAGAGGAUGAUCAGCCACAUUGGGACUGAGACACGGCCCAGACUCCUACGGGAGCAGCA